UUGAGGAAACUACAGCUGCAUUUGCUUGAGGACUAUAUAAAAUGAAUACGAUCCUCAUCUGUACUCUUGAUCUGAACAAGUUGCGUUCAAUAAUGAAAGCAAUAUUCAGGCUUCUUAUGACCGUCACCAUUGUAGGAAUGGCAAUGGCUAAAGUUCACCACUCUGCCCAUCACACAGGAAGUAUCUUUGAUGUGGCUGCAAGUACUGUCAAUAAUUUCUUUGUGUAAAAAUGAAAUAAAUGAUGAAAGAAAAGGAAUGUUAAAUCGUAUUUGAAUUUGGAGUAUUUUGAAAUAAAAUUGAUUCACCAAUUCACA